CCUACGGGUGACAGCAGUGAGGAAUAUUGGUCAAUGGGCGGGAGACUGAACCAGCCAAGCAGCGUGAAGGAGGAAGGUACAACGGGUUGUAAACCUCUUUUAUAAAGGAAUAAAGAGAGGCACGUGUGCCCGUUUGAAUGUACCUGAAGAAUAAGGAUCGGCUAACUCCGGGCCAGCAGCCGCGGUAAUACGGAGGAUGCGAGCGUUAUCCGGAUUUAUUGGGGUUAAAGGGAGCGUAGAUGGGUUGUUAAGUCAGUUGUGAAAGUUUGCGGCUCAACCCUCAUAUUGCCGUUGAUACUGGCAGCCUUGAGUUCAGUUGAGGUAUGCGGCAUUCGUGGUGUAGCGG
rnacentral:rRNA from 1 species